CAGUCGCCGCGGUAAUACGGAGGGGGCUAGCGUUGUUCGGAAUUACUGGGUGUAAAGCGCACGUAGGCGGCUUGGUAAGUUAGAGGUGAAAGCCUGGAGCUCAACUCCAGAAUUGCCUUUAAGACUGCCGAGCUAGCAGGUGAGAGAGGUAAGUGGAAUUCCGAGUGUAGAGGUGAAAUUCGUAGAUAUUCGGAAGAACACCAGUGGCGAAGGCGGCUUACUGGCUCAUACUGGACGCUGAGGUGCGAAAGCGUGGGGAGCAAACAGGAUUAGAUACCCGCGUAGUCCCUGUCUCUUAUAC
rnacentral:rRNA from 1 species